CAUACCACAUGCCGCCCUUCAGCCUGCUGUGGGUAUUCCUGGCCUUCAGCUACUCUGGAUCCAUUGUGGCCCAGAAAGUUACUCAAGCCCAGACAGCCAGAUCCACGACAGUGGGGCAGACAGUCACCCUGAACUGCCAGUAUGAAACAAGCCGGAUUUAUUACACUAUUAAUUGGUACAAGCAACUUCCCAGCAAAGAGAUGAUUUUCCUUCUUCGCCAGGGUUCUAAUAGUCAGAAUGCAAAGGAUGGUCGCUAUUCUGUCAACUUCAGGAAAGAAGCCAAGUCCAUCGACUUGACCAUUUCAGACUUACGGCUGGAAGAUUUGGCAAAGUAUUUCUGUGCUCUCUGUGAAGCACAGUGUUUGAAGUGA